rnacentral:rRNA from 1 species
CUGAACCAGCCAAGUAGCGUGAAGGAUGACUGCCCUAUGGGUUGUAAACUUCUUUUAUAGGGGAAUAAAGUGGAGGACGCGUCCUUUUUUGCAUGUACCCUAUGAAUAAGCAUCGGCUAACUCCGUGCCAGCAGCCGCGGUAAUACGGAGGAUGCGAGCGUUAUCCGGAUUUAUUGGGUUUAAAGGGUGCGUAGGUGGUGAUUUAAGUCAGUUGUGAAAGUUUGCGG